rnacentral:rRNA from 1 species
GACGAACGCUGGCGGCGUGCUUAACACAUGCAAGUCGACCGGAAAGGCCCUGCUUUUGUGGGGUGCUCGAGUGGCGAACGGGUGAGUAACACGUGAGUAACCUGCCCUUGACUGUGGGAUAACUUCAUGAAACUGGGGCUAAUCCCGGAUAGGAGCUCCUGCUUCAUGAUGGGUGUUGGAAAGUUUCGGUGUUGGGGGAUGGACUCGCGGCUUAUCAGAUUGUUGGUGGGGUAGUGUCUUACAAAGGCUUUGACGGGUAGCCGGACUGAGAGGGUGACAGGCCACAGAGGGACAGAGAUGCGACCAGUAGUCAUACGGGGGCAAGCGGCGAAAGAUAUAGCAAGCUGCGCGGCAGCAUGGUGGAGCAGCGCCGCGUGGGAGAUGACGGCCUGCGGAUUGUAACGCGCUUGAGAGUGUGAAGAAGAGUGAGUGACGGUAAUGGGUAAAGAAGCGACGGCUAACUACGUG